rnacentral:rRNA from 1 species
GGAGCAUGUGGCUUAAUUUGACUCAACGCGGGAAAUCUUACCGGGUCCGGACACACUGAGGAUUGACAGGCAAUAUUAAUUUCGCCCCGGCGAUUUUAUGUUAAAUAUGCUAGUCCUUUCAUGAUUAUGUGAUAGGUGGUGCAUGGCCGUUCUUAGUUCGUGGAGUGAUCUGUCUGCUUAAUUGCGUUUCACUAAGGGCCUAUAAUUUAACGUGUGUUGCGGCACUUUGACCCCUCUUCGCGGAGCGUGCGUCUUAGCUUGUUUAGCUCACACAAUUAGGUCCUGAAAGCAACGAACGUGACCGCAACCUCUUGUUGCCUUUAUACCAAACACAGUCUGACCUUCUUCCCUGAAGGGCUGCCGUGAAAAAAGGCUUUUUAAACUAGAGGGACCGCUGUUACUUUCUUAAACCAGAGGAAGGUUGCGGCAAUAACAGGUCUGU